UUGAUAGUCCUGCUGAGUGACAUUUUGUAUUUGUCAACAGAAAAGGUACUAUAUGGGCAGGGGCAGUACAAGCUUCCCACACUGCCCUGCCAAUAUACCUCAACCCUGACCUGGAGUUACCAAAUCUGUCCCCAGAGCUAUUCAAUAUUUGGCCUCU
rnacentral:sRNA from 1 species